CAGAUAUGGAAACUAAGGCUGGAAGCCCCCACGACUAGCGAAGCCGUUCCUGGGACAGGAAGCUUGCAGACGGAGAAGGGUGUUUCCGGAACUGAGCCUGCGGGUGGGGCUGCACUUGGGCUGGGCAGCACCCAGUGGAGAUGACAAAGAGACAGAGGCAGGUGCCCCCCCUGCACCACCACCCUCCAGCCGCACGCACCCACCUACGCAGCACAGCUGCCCGUAGAGGUAGCCCCUGCGGGCCUGCUCGCAGCCCCCAUCCAGCCAGCACGGCCGUUCCAGCACAACCUCCUUCUGCGCGGCAAGAGCGACUCCCGCCCCCUGUGUGCCGGGCGCAGCCAUGAGCUUGGGCGCCCUGGGGACAGCAAACAGGACAGUACAGCGUCUGCUUCCCAGCCCACCCGUGAGGCCGGGGCCGCCAGCUCUUCUCUCCACACCCUCCCCCGCCGCGGCGGCGGGCCAGACGCUGAGAAUCUGCCCCUGGCGGGCGCCCCGCCCAAUGUGAGCCUGGAAGCCGCGCCCCUACGUGGAGGGAGAGGACCCGGCUAGGCCUGGGGGACUGGGGGCAGGGGGAGGCUGCCCUCGAGGACAAAGAGGCCUGGGAACUCCCUAAGAUAACUGUUCCCGGGAUGACGCUCCCUGCAGGAUUCGAGGGAGAGGCUGGGGGCAGUGCGAGGAGCAGGGAGCUGAGAACAGCUGAGAACACAGAAGGAGCACCGCAGCCUCGAGGGGCACCGAGGGCAGCAGGGACCGGGAGCGGCCAGGACAGCGGCCGGAGGGGAGCCCCUUCCCCACGUGGGGACGGUGCACAGAAGCAGGCUGAGGGAGGGGGGGCCAAACCACAGCAAGGAAGUCCUGGCCCGAGUGUUCGUUUUAUUGACCGUCCCUGCAGCUGAGUCACCAGCUGCUCCCCAGCCCCCAAAGCCACGCCUAGAAGCCCCAUCCGGACUCAGACCUAGGGCCCAGCGGGCCCAGCACCCUUGCCAGGGGCCAGCCCUGGCCACCCCACUGAGGGCAAGCCUCCACACUCCAGGCUGUGCCCAGUGCAGACCGGCAGGCCCCCGCUGGGGCAGUCCCUCUGGCCAGAACCCCAGUCCCCAUGCCCCCGCCCCCCAGCUCAUUCACUUGAGUGGAGGCCCCACCCUCCUGGGCUGCACGCAGCUGCUGCCAAGGGCUACAGCCCAGAGCGGGUGACCUGGAGCAGGGGGAGGGCAGAGCACAGCCAGGCUGCCGGUCCCAGGCGUUCCUAGGCCCCGGCCAAGGGCGCUCAGGCACCUGCCUCACCUCCGUGCAAGGGCAGGGAGGCUCUGCCCAGGCCCAACCCCACCUCAGUCCUGGGCGGGAGCUCUCCCAAGACCUGCCCCAGGACACCCGACCUGCACCUGCCAGCUGCGGUUUCACCUGUGCUCACCCUGUCCCUGACUGCUAGGGAGGGGCCUCCCUUCCGGACUGGACGCUCCUGCACUGCCCCUGCCGCCCACUCCCCACCUGUCCAGAGCCCCCCUCGCCCAGCAGGGGGCUCCAAGCUAAUGAAGCCACAGAGCCCCGGCCCUGCCCAGAGAAGCAGGGUAGGAGGCGGAGGCGACACCGCUUCUGACCACGUGCCGGUGCUGCUUCCCCCGGGACGGAAGGGGAGGGCGUAGGGAAACGCAGGGGCGGGAGGGAGGCGGCCCCUUGCCUGCCCCGCCCUCAGCCCCCUGACGGGGUGGCGGCUGGUGACUGCAGCCCGGGCAGUAGCCACCAGCGGCCUUACCUUGCUCAUCCUGCACCCGCCGGCGCCCCCUGUGCCAGUGCCACACAGCGGCCAGGGUGACAACGUGGCCCACAACCACCAGGGAAGGGAACAGGCUGCCCGAGGGCUCCAUGGCUCUGGAGAGCAGAGCAGGCGGAAUCGCCCUUCGGAAGGACUGCUCGAGGCCGGGCAGCCCCCUCCCUUCCCCGAGCGGAGAGGACGGCGGGGGGUGCCCCGGGACCAGGGACCGCCCCCUGCAGGACCGCCCUACCGCCGGCCGCCUGGCGCCCAGAGACUAGCCCCGGCGCUGCUGCUGCUCCUGCUGCUGCUGCACCAACUGUGCUGCCGCCAGCCCCCUCCCUCCCCCUCCCGCCAGCCCCCUCCCUCCCCCUCCCGCCAGCCCCCCUCCCGCCCCCCUCCCCCUCCCUCCCCCUCCCGGCCGCUCCGCGCUCCCCACCCUCCCACGGCGGCGCCGGCUCAGCUGUCCCAGCGCAGCUAUCACGUAGUCACGCUCAAGGUUAGCGGGAGCCUUAACCCCUGCCCACCCUCGGCCACACCCGCCAGGAGGAGGGGCCUGCGGGGAAGCCAGGCCGAGCGGCAGCCCCCCCCAGCCUGGGCCCUGCGCGGCCUCAGUGCAGUCCUGCCCCCACCCCCACCGGGCGGGCGACCGUGGUGCCCGAGUACCCCACUCUGCCUCCGAGGGUACCCUCUGGUGGCAGCUGCCAGCGCCCCAGCCCUCGCUGGCCUCCCAGGCUGGCAGCUGACCCAACCACCCUCAAAGACAAGCGGCCAGAGCCCCGACGCCCCUACCCCACCACAGGGCAACAGACAGGGCGUGGGGGAGGGGCCCAGGUGCCGGCCUGGAGAGCAGACCGUGCACAGAGGUAAGGACAGAGCCUCCCACCCGCGGCCCCAGCCGGGCUUUCAAAGGCUGCCCCACCUACCCGGCACAAUCUUCAUUGGGGACAGCGGCGGGAGCCCACGGGUCCGACAGGGAGUGGGUGCGGGGUGUGGGGAGGGUCACAGGCCCCUCGGAGGCAGCAGUGAGCCCGGCAGUGGCGGUGGUGCCGCUGACAGCAGCAGUGCCUGUGUCCGUGGGGGAGGGGAGGGGUGGGCAGGGGGCCCGGGGGGAUAUAAAUAUCCAAGGAGGGCCAGCGAGGCCCGUCAUGUGUCCAGACUUAGAACAUGACGUGCAGAGCGAGGGCACCUGGGCCCAGAGCCUCGCUGGAGCCCAGGCUGACUGCGCGGCGCCACCCGACGCUCCCCCCAGGCUCCCACGGGCGAUUCUAAUAAUAAGAAGCCUCCUGGAACAGGCCGAGCACUGGCACGUGGGCCUUGGGGGCUCUCGUCCCCCUUGAAUGGGGCACAGCCCCGCCCUGCCGGCCUCGUGGGGUAGGGACAGCAGUGGGGGAGCACUGGGAAAGGCCACACAGGCAAGGGCUCCCCCCACCCCCCUGCACAAGUCACAGGACGCAACACCUGGCCCAGAGGGACGGGACGGCCUCCCCAAGGUGACAUCUCAGGCCAAAUCAGGCUGGGCCACGUGAGCGCCCGCCCCCCAGCUCGGGCCGUGCCUCCCCACCCCAGGACAGUCCCAGUGUCUACGCUGACCCCACCCAGACCCCAGCAGCGGUGGGUCUGCAGAACGCUUGGGGCUGAGGUACCGGCCCACAUCACAUCCUGGACUGACCCAGGCCUCAGCGCGCUCAGGAAACAGGACGUGGGGGUCACGGUCCUUCCCCUCUCCUCCCAGCAGCCUGGACCCCUCAGGCCCGAGGAGACAGAGCACUGGGGUUUGUACCCCAUUUUGUAGCGCUCCCCCUGUGUCCAGCACCAUUCUAUUCCAAUCCUCAGAGAAAGCUACGGAGUAAGCCCGGUGUAUUACUGCAUCGUACAGAUGAGGAAACCGAGGCACAGAAAGGGUGAGGGGCUCACCCUCGGUCACACAAGGCUGUGAUGUCAGCCCCGGCGGUCUGCCUGGAGUGCGUGGUCAGCCUGCAGCAAAGCACAGCAAACCACACUUGGCCUCUGGCCGCCGGGGUAGGGGCCCCCUGGUCCACGUGGGGAGGCCAGGGGCAACGAGAAGAGGGCCGGAGGGGUGAAGGGGUGGAGGGCCAGGCCACCCAAGCCUCCUGCCCAUCAACCCCGUGCUUCCGAAACUCACUUCUGAAGGAAACUGGCCUGCAGCGGCCAGCUCUGGAGGCUGGGACUGGGACUGAGCUUCUCAGAGGAGUCAACGGCCGGGGGAGAACCAGCUCCCAGAGGCAAGGGUGUCCCUCCCUCGAGGGUGGCAGGCAGCACCCCCCGCCCCCCCAGGGACCUGGGGCAGGACCUGCAGCUCCCAGAGCCUCCAUCCCACACCACACACCCCCGGGCACCUCUGAGAGGGAGCCGUGCUCAUCCCCGAGUCCCGAGUCCCAAGUCCCCGAGUCCCAAGUCCCGAGUCCUGCCCCUCCAAGGGCCCAAGCCCCAGGCUGGAGGGGAGAGGCCUGCAGCCGCCGCCCAGCCCUGCCCUACCUUGGCCCAGCUGAAUCAGCUCGUCCAUGCUGUACCUGUCCAUGGCUGCCACCACGGGCCAGGCCGCUCCAAGAGCCGGCAGACAGGAAAGGAAGGGAAGGCAGGAAGGAGGGAAAGGAUGGGAGGCGGAGGGCAGGCUCGCUGGAGCCCUGGCCUCCCCACCCAGCCCUGGGAGCCGUGGCUCCUCCUCACGGCCACCCCUUAGUCAGCAAGCCCAGGAGAGCCGAAGCCCAGCGGAUCAACAGGUCGGACCAGCCUGCCUGCAAUCCCUGAGCCCUCAGGCAGGGCCGGAGGGGCCACCGGUCUCCCUCCUGUGCCUGCCCGGCCCACCCCGCAGCCUCCCCCUUGCUGCACAGGCCCCACCAGCCUGCACCUCCCCGGCCCCUCCUGGACCCUCCCCGCCAUGUCCCCCAUGACCAGCUCAGGCGCAGCCACGGCAGCCUCCAGCCCUGACAAAGGUGACACCUCUUCCCCGAGUCCCAGCCUCUGCGCUCCUCCCCGGGCGCUGGCCUGCCCAGCCACCGCAGGACCCAGUAAAAGACAAAUCUAAUCCUGCUGUACCCUGCUUAGAAAACCUGCCAGAGUUCUGCAGAUUUCUCCGAAGACAGCCCAGACACAAAGCUGGAGACUCACGGAGGGCUGGCUGGGGCACCACGCGCCGUGAAAAGGAGCAUGGCAGCUCUGGGCGCUGACUCUGUGUCCCCUGCGUGGGGGACAAGCCGCGUGGGAAAGCCAGGUGCACAGCGGGGUCAGAAGAAGCAAGACCCCGAAGGCCACCUGCGUCUGCCGUGUAAGAUGCUGUUGGAGCACAGGUGCUGAGGGCGUUCAGAUGGUACCUGUUCUCUACAGAAGUUUCAGUUCACUCUGAAUUUUAAGCCACGCCGAGCAUUACCACUUGAAACAUAAACGAAAUUCAUAUAUAAAAAUCCA